rnacentral:tRNA from 1 species
GGGGAUUUAGCUUAGUGGUAGAGCGCUUGCCUAGCAAGCACAAGGCCCUGGGUUCAGUCCCCA